rnacentral:rRNA from 1 species
UACGGGGGGAGCAAGCGUUGUUCGGAUUUACUGGGCGUAAAGGGCGCGUAGGCGGUCGUGACAAGUCACUUGUGAAAUCUCCGGGCUUAACUCGGAACGGUCAAGUGAUACUGUCGGACUAGAGUACAGAAGGGGCAACUGGAAUUCUCGGUGUAGCGGUGAAAUGCGUAGAUAUCUGGAGGAACACCGGUGGCGAAGGCGGCAUCCUGGACCGACACUGACACUGAGGAGCGAAAGCCAGGGGAGCAAACGGG